rnacentral:lncRNA from 1 species
AUGUUCAAGGGGACUUGGAUUAUCCUCAAGUUCCUUCACGAGCGAUGCAACAGCUUGGAGGUGCUCCUCAACGUCACCUGGUAUCUGCGCAGUUCCCGUUGCCACAACGAGAUCCACAUUGACGAAAACGAAGCGCUGUCUUACCUCAGGAACCACGAGGAUGCCACCAGCACCACAGGGGAUGGCCAGUAUGUUUGGUACAGUGGCCAGAUCAGCUGUGGCUCGCUCCAUGAGCUGCACUUUUCGGAGCUGCCCGAGCCUCGGAGGCUGCGGCCUUUACAAGAUCAGCUGACAGCCGCCAAUCUGGUGAAGAAGACGGAGGCCUCCCAGCUUCCAGGGAGUGAGAAGGGAAAGGAGACGGAACACAGCCCGGCAGCCAAAGCCGGGGAAAAGCCCGAGGAGGCCCACGUCGAGAAACCCAAGGAAGGCCAGGCAGGGCAGCCCUCUCCUGUGGCCGGCAAGAAAGCCAGCAAAGAGGCCAAGAAGAAAACCACUCUGGCACCUCACAGGCGAGAGGUGGGUGGCCGGACAGUUGGAACUGCGGUCCAGCGGCCUGAGCCAGUGGCCUUGCUCGGCCCUCGGCCUGACCCUCCGCCGAGUGUCUGAAAGGGGCUCUCGGUUCCGCUCUCGGUCUUUCCUUCUCUAGCCUGGCGAUGGAUGGAGCUCCUCCUCGCCUGACCUGGCCCGUGUUGGGUUGUUGUUUUAGCCUUCCGCCGUGGCUGCCACCUGGGACGAUGGGCCGUACGUCUUCAUCCUCGGGAUCAAGAGCCCGUCGGCCAACUGGGAGCUGCAGAGUGAGUGGAGCCGGCCGGUCCGACGUUCCACAGCAGACCCAUUGAGAGGGCUCCUGGGGACCUGGGGCCAGUCCUGGGGCUGAAGGGCCACACGGGAUAAGCGGCCUUCCCGGCAGUAUUUGCAGGCUUCCCUUCGGGUCUCUUCCUUGUGGACUAGCACCCUAGUCAUAAAAUAUAAGCCUGAGGAUCAGGAAAGGGUUGCAGCAUAAACAGAUUGAAUAAGGAACUCAUAAUGACAUCAGGAGAUUACUUUCUGCUACACCAUGGCCACCAGCAGCAGUUAAAAAACCGUUGAGAAGUUUGUUCUCUCUCUCUCUCUCUCUCUCUCUCUCUCUCUGUGUGUGUGUGUGUGUGUGUGUGUGUGUGUAAUGCUUGUUUAAGCACAAGAAGGGAAAUACAAAAAAGGUAUUCUGGGUGGGGAGAAUAAAAAUGUCUUAUCUCAAGAUGACGGCCGGCUU